UCGGGUGUCUGUGAGGAGCAUCCCAGCCACUGGUCCCUGGCAUCUGAGGGUACAUUAUCCUUGCCUUCUGUUCACUCAUUCUGUGACCGUGUGGGGCUCGGAGACAGUAAGAAGGCCACUAGAAACCACACAGCUCUAAAGAGCAGCGAGGCUGGAACCUGGGCCCACAAACCCACGUCGCUGCUCCCCCUUCCCCAGGCCAGAGCGACCUGCUGGGUUUCCAGCAACACAGACUGCGCCAGCCGGGAGCUAUACCCCCAGAACUUCCUCCUGCCACCGCCGUGCGCAGGCGCGCCCUUUCCCGACAGACGUGAAAUGUGAAAUCGUCUGAGAAGGUAUGGCAUUUGCUGACAGGCAGCUUGCUGAGGGAGAAGAUGCAACUAUUUCACUUGUGACUUGCUGCAGAUGGUGUUGUCUGCAAGGCACCUGGGACUUACUCCUUCAGGUA